CUAUACAUAUACUCAUCUUCGUUUAAUCUCAUAGCAUCUCUUCAUUUGAAAUCUUAUCUCCAAUAAUAAAAUUUCCAUAUGUACUUAUAUAACAUUUCUUAGACUAUUCCGUUCACAUCGAAUUUACAGGUAUCGUACUACCUUAUUCUUGAUAUUCCUCCAAGUACAUAUUAAUUCAUUUCUAGGGUUUAGGAAUUUUGUAAUCCCAUAUUUUCUCUAUUCUCAUUCGAAUAGCAAACCAUAUAGGUUUUACUUGAAAAUUUUAAAUAAAUCCUCAAAUUGUCAUCUAGGUUUUAUUCUUUAACCUUUAUUCUAAUCAUUUAA
rnacentral:lncRNA from 1 species